AGUGGACGCUGGCGGUAGGCCUAACACAUGCAAGUCGAACGUCAGCACAGUAAGAGCUUGCUCUUACGGGUGGCGAGUGGCGGACGGGUUAGGAAUACAUCGGAAUCUACUUUUUCGUGGGGGAUAACGUAGGUAAACUUACGCUAAUACCGCAUACGACCUACGGGUUAAAGCAGGGGAUCUUCGUACCUUGCGCGAUUGAAUGAGCCGAUGUCGGAUUAGCUAGUUGGCGGGGUAAAGGCCCACCAAGGCGACGAUCCGUAGCUGGUCUGAGAGGAUGAUCAGCGACACUGGAACUGAGACACGGUCCAGACGCCUACGGGAGGCAGCAGUGGGGAAUAUUGGACAAUGGGCGCAAGCCUGAUCAAGCCAGACCGCGUGGGUGAAGAAGGCAUGCGGGUUGUAAAGCCCUUUUGUUGGGAAAGAAAAGCAGAAGGUUAAUACCCCGCUGUUCUGACGGUACCCAAAGAAUAAGCACCGGCUAACUUCGUG
rnacentral:rRNA from 1 species